UUUAGUGGAGAAGAAGAAAAAAAAAAUCAGAUAAAGCAAAAAAAAUAUAAGAUAGCUCUAAUUUAGUAUACUCGUUUAUGGAAUAAGAACCCAUAUGUGUCACCUAGAAUUCUUUUUUUUCGCGGACGACUUUCUUUCCUCGCUCUCUUUCUCUCUCGAUCGAAGUCCAGAAUUGACAAAGGAAUGAGAAGGAAUCAAAAGCUAUGGAAUCAGAGGAGAUCCGAAGCGGAGGAGAUUGUAUUCCUCUGGCAAGAUUCCGAUGGAUUCGCAGCAACCAUUGCUGAUUCUCCAAACCCUAGCCCUCAUUCUCCUCUUCGCAAACUAGAAGAACAGGUCCAGCUUCCUUUGGAUAAGUAUGGCGUCCGAGAUGAUGUCGGAACCGGCGGCAAUAUCGUUCACUUCCUCUAAGCAACUAUGGUUUCAUUGCUAUGCUAAAACAUCCUCGUCCAUCCUCAAACUCCCGUGGAAUGAUGGAUUAUCAAAGUGCUGAUCAUGAGCAACUUAUGAAACGUUUACGGUCUGGACCAACUGGUGAUGAGACUAACAGGGUUGAGCACUUGAGCUUUUCUUGUGGCGGCAUCUAAGCUUAAGUUCAAUAACAGAUCCCUCGAAGCAAAUAACAGCAAAGCUAGUCUUCAUUACGUUCAAGUUGGUGCAGAAAGUGAUACCAGUAGGUUAUUUGCUUCGCCUUCUCAUGCAAUCUCCAUACGCAGAGUGAGUUUAUAUCUGCUUAAUGUUUGGAUUUAUUUUGUGGUCAUUGUAGGUGAAAGCUAAGACUGAUUUUGGAGUUGUCAUGUUUGAUGAGAGUCAUAUAAUUCUAAAACUUUAGUUUGGUUUUUUAUAUCUUCUCAUCUAAUUUUGUAAACAUAUAUCUCAAAUGCAAUAAUUUCAUAUUC